ACUUAACAUUGAGCGUGGUUACACGAUUCUUUCCACUGUCCCCAUCCGAGUGCUACUGCCGGAGGAUACCUGCCUUCCUGGGACUUCUCACCCUCUAGCACUCAGCCAGUUCCUGCUCGGGCGCCGGGUCACCUCCCAGGGACACCAUUCUGCACUCCUGGCCAAGUCCAGCCCUCUCAGAUGUUGCCAAAGCCACCCAUCCAGUUGCCUUCCUGCCAAGCAGCACCCUCCCUGAGGGCAGGGCCCACGUGUGCAGCAGCAGAGACACCCUCCAGGAGCAGUGGAGGAGGAAACUCACCCGGAAGGUGGCACACCACGGGGAUGCCCAGCUUCUUGAGGUCGUCUGCGUUGCCGACGCCAG